rnacentral:hammerhead_ribozyme from 1 species
AUCCAGCUGACGAGUCCUAAAUAGGACAAAAUAUCUCUAUUCCUGGAU